UUGACUUUGAAAAGGUUUGGGGAU
rnacentral:snRNA from 1 species